rnacentral:rRNA from 1 species
ACGGAGGAUCCGAGCGUUAUCCGGAUUUAUUGGGUUUAAAGGGUGCGUAGGCGGCCUUUUAAGUCAGCGGUGAAAGUCUGUGGCUCAACCAUAGAAUUGCCGUUGAAACUGGGGGGCUUGAGUAUGUUUGAGGCAGGCGGAAUGCGUGGUGUAGCGGUGAAAUGCAUAGAUAUCACGCAGAACCCCGAUUGCGAAGGCAGCCUGCCAAGCCAUGACUGACGCUGAUGCACGAAAGCGUGGGGAUCAAACAGGAUUAGAUACCCUGGUAGUCCACGCAGUAAACGAUGAUCACUAGCUGUUUGCGAUACACUGUAAGCGGCACAGCGAAAGCGUUAAGUGAUCCACCUGGGGAGUACGCCGGCAACGGUG